GAUGAACGCUAGCGGCAGGCUUAAUACAUGCAAGUCGUGGGGCAGCAUGAAGUAGCAAUACUUUGAUGGCGACCGGCAAACGGGUGCGGAACACGUACACAACCUUCCUCUUAGUGGGGAAUAGCCCAGAGAAAUUUGGAUUAAUACCCCGUAACAUAGCGAUGAGGCAUCUCAUUGCUAUUAUAGCUUCGGCGCUAGAUGAUGGGUGUGCGUAUGAUUAGAUAGUUGGCGAGGUAACGGCUCACCAAGUCUACGAUCAUUAGCUGAUGUGAGAGCAUGAUCAGCCCACCGGGCACUGAAACACGGGCCCAACUCCUACGGGAGGCAGCAGUAAGGAAUAUUGGUCAAUGGACGAAAGUCUGAACCAGCCAUGCCGCGUGAAGGAUUAAGGUCCUCUGGAUUGUAAACUUCUUUUAUAUGGGACGAAAAAAGGUCUUUCUAGAUCACUUGACGGUACCAUAUGAAUAAGCACCGGCUAACUCCGUGCCAGCAGCCGCCGUAA
rnacentral:rRNA from 1 species